rnacentral:rRNA from 1 species
CAAUAGCGUAUAUUUAAGUUGUUGCAGUUAAAAAGCUCGUAGUUGGAUUUCGGGUGGGACGCAGCGGUCUCGCAUUGCGUUUGUACUGCUGCAGCCCUCCUUCUUGCCGGGGGCGGCCUCUCGGACUUCACUGUCUGGGGGUCAGAAUCGGCGAUGUUACUUUGAGUAAAUUAGAGUGUUCAAAGCAAGCUUACGCUCUGAAUAUAAUAGCAUGGGAUAACACGACAGGACUCUGGCCUAUCGUGUUGGUCUAUAGGACCAGAGUAAUGAUUAAGAGGGACAGUCGGGGGCAUUCGUAUUCCGUUGUCAGAGGUGGAAUUCUUGGAUUUACGGAAGACGAACAUCUGCGAAAGCAUUUGCCAAGGAUGUUUUCAUUG